rnacentral:rRNA from 1 species
UUGGAGGGCAAGUCUGGUGCCAGCAGCCGCGGUAAUUCCAGCUCCAAUAGCGUAUAUUAAAGUCGUUGCAGUUAAAAAGCUCGUAGUUGAAUUUCGGGGUCAGCAGGUUGGUCGUGCCAAUGGUAUGCACUGGCCUUGCUGAUUCCUCCCUCUUGAUGAGCCGUAAUGCCAUUAAUUUGGUGUUGCGGGGAAUCAGGACUGUUACUUUGAAAAAAUUAGAGUGUUUAAAGCAGGCAAGCGCUUGAAUACAUUAGCAUGGAAUAAUGAAAUAGGACGUUUAAUCCUAUUUUGUUGGUUUCUAGGAUUGACGUAAUGAUUAAUAGGGAUAGUUGGGGGCAUUAGUAUCCAAUUGUCAGAGGUGAAAUUCUUGGAUUUAUUGAUGACUAACUACUGCGAAAGCAUUUGCCAAGGAUGUUUUCAUUAAUCAAGAACGAAAGUUAGGGGAUCGAAGACGAUCAGAUACCGUCGUAGUCUUAACCAUAAACUAUGCCGACUAGGGAAUCGGAAUGAUUUUAAUUUUU